rnacentral:rRNA from 1 species
UACGUAGGGGGCAAGCGUUGUCCGGAAUCAUUGGGCGUAAAGCGCGCGUAGGCGGCCCGGUAAGUCCGCUGUAAAAGUCAAAGGCUCAACCUUUGAAAGCCGGUGGAUACUGCCGGGCUAGAGUCCGGAAGAGGCGAGUGGAAUUCCUGGUGUAGCGGUGGAAUGCGCAGAUAUCAGGAGGAACACCGAUAGCGAAGGCAGCUCGCUGGGACGGUACUGACGCUGAGGCGCGAAAGCGUGGGGAGCGAACAGG